UACGUAGGGCGCGAGCGUUGUCCGGAAUCAUUGGGCGUAAAGAGCUCGUAGGCGGCCUGUCGCGUCUGCUGUGAAAUCCCGGGGCUCAACCCCGGGCGUGCAGUGGAUACGGGCUGGCUGGAGGCAGGCAGGGGAGAACGGAAUUCCCGGUGUAGUGGUGGAAUGCGUAGAUAUCGGGAGGAACACCAGUGGCGAAAGCGGCUCUCUGGGGGCGAUCUGACGCUGAUGCGCGAAGGCGUGGGGAGCAAACCGG
rnacentral:rRNA from 1 species